AACGAACGCUGGUGGCAUGCCUAACACAUGCAAGUCGAACGAGACCUUCGGGUCUAGUGGCGCACGGGUGCGUAACGCGUGGGAAUCUGCCCUUGGGUGCGGAAUAACUUUCCGAAAGGGAUGCUAAUACCGCAUAAUGUCGUAAGACCAAAGAUUUAUCGCCCAAGGAUGAGCCCGCGUAAGAUUAGCUAGUUGGUGGGGUAAAAGCCUACCAAGGCGACGAUCUUUAGCUGGUCUGAGAGGAUGAUCAGCCACACUGGGACUGAGACACGGCCCAGACUCCUACGGGAGGCAGCAGUGGGGAAUAUUGGACAAUGGGCGAAAGCCUGAUCCAGCAAUGCCGCGUGAGUGAUGAAGGCCCUAGGGUUGUAAAGCUCUUUUACCCGGGAUGAUAAUGACGGUAGUCGGAGAAGAAGCCCCGGCUAACUUCGUGCCAGCCGCCGCCGUAAUAC
rnacentral:rRNA from 1 species